rnacentral:rRNA from 1 species
GAUGAACGCUAGCGGCAGGCUUAACACAUGCAAGUCGAGGGGUAUAGUUCUUCGGAGCUAGAGACCGGCGCACGGGUGCGUAACGCGUAUGCAAUCUACCUUUUGCAGAGGGAUAGCCCAGAGAAAUUUGGAUUAAUACCUCAUAGUAUGUGAGAAUGGCAUCAUUUUCACAUUAAAGUCACAACGGCAAAAGAUGAGCAUGCGUCCCAUUAGCUUGUUGGUAAGGUACCGGCUUGCCACGGCAACGAUGGGUAGGGGUCGUGAGAGGGAGAUCCCCCACACUGGUACUGAGACACGGACCAGACUCCUACGGGAGGCAGCAGUGAGGAAUAUUGGACAAUGGGCGCAAGCCUGAUCCAGUCAUGCCGCGUGCAGGAUGACGGUCCUAUGGAUUGUAAACUGCUUUUGUACAGGAAGAAACACUGGUUCGUGAACCAGCUUGACGGUACUGUAAGAAUAAGGAUCGGCUAACUCCGUGCCAGCCGCCGCUGUAAGAC